UACGGAGGAUGCAAGCGUUAUCCGGAAUGAUUGGGCGUAAAGCGUCCGCAGGUGGCUGUGUAAGUCUGCUGUUAAAGAGUCUAGCUCAACUAGAUAAGAGCAGUGGAAACUACACGGCUAGAGUACGUUCGGGGCAGAGGGAAUUCCUGGUGUAGCGGUGAAAUGCGUAGAGAUCAGGAAGAACACCGGUGGCGAAGGCGCUCUGCUAGGCCGUAACUGACACUGAGGGACGAAAGCUAGGGGAGCGAAAGGG
rnacentral:rRNA from 1 species